rnacentral:rRNA from 1 species
AGAGUUUGAUCAGUGGCUCAGGACGAACGCUGGCGGCGUGCCUAACACAUGCAAGUCGAACGGAGAUAUGAUUUCGGUUGUAUCUUAGUGGCGAACGGGUGAGUAACGCGUGAACAACCUGACUCUAAGAGGGGGAUAACACUCGGAAACGGGUGCUAAUACCGCAUAAGACCACGACCUGGCAUCAGGAUGAGGUCAAAGGAGCAAUCCGCUGAGAGAGGGGUUCGCGUCCCAUUAGAUAGAUGGCGGGUAACGGCCCACCAUGUCAACGAUGGGUAGCCGAGCUGAGAGGCUGAUCGGCCACACUGGAACUGAGACACGGUCCAGACUCCUACGGGAGGCAGCAGUGGGGAAUAUUGGGCAAUGGGCGCAAGCCUGACCCAGCAACGCCGCGUGAGGGAAGAAGGCUUCCGGGUUGUAAACCUCUGUCCUUGGUGACGAAACAAAUGACGGUAGCCAAGGAGGAAGCCCCGGCUAACUACGUG